rnacentral:rRNA from 1 species
AUGGUCCUGCUUCGAUACGGCGUCAUGUAUCUGAUCGAGCACUCUCCUCCAACUAACGCCAACAUCCAGUACCUUGAGCUCGACACUCACGUCGCCCUCGCCAUGUAUGCUACCCUCUCCGAUCAGAUCAUUGACCACAUGAUCGGUGCCACCACCACUUUCGAUCUCUGGACUCAGAUUCGGGACUACUUCCUCACAAAUCGCGUGGGUCGGUACAUGAUGCUCAAUCGUCAAUAUCGCAACCUCAAACAAUGCGAUCUCUCCGUCGACGAAUACGCGCGCAGCAUGAAGCUGCUCACCGCGGGUCUCGUGUUCAUCGACCACGCGGUCUCCGAGGUGGAUCUGACCACUCAGUUCCUCCACGGCAUCGACGACCGUCUCGACACGAUCCGGGUCGUGCUGGGGGACACGGUUCCCUUGCCCCCGUUUGAGACCGUGUUUUCGCUCCUGAAGCUCGCCGAAGAAAACCUCGCUCAGCGCACCGCCGACGCCCCCGCCACGGUCCUCGCCAUCCAUGGGCUUGGUGGGCCUUCCGGUGCCUCCGAAUCCAGCAGUGGUGGCAGCUGA